rnacentral:rRNA from 1 species
UACGUAGGGGGCAAGCGUUGUCCGGAUUUAUUGGGCGUAAAGAGCGUGUAGGCGGCCUGAAAGGUCAGCUGUGAAAACUCGAGGCUCAACCUCGAGACGUCGGUUGAAACCAUCUGGCUAGAGUCCGGAAGAGGAGUGUGGAAUUCCCGGUGUAGCGGUGAAAUGCGCAGAUAUCGGGAAGAACACCCAUGGCGAAGGCAGCUCUCUGGGACGGUACUGACGCUGAGACGCGAAAGCGUGGGGAGCGAACAGG